GUAUCUGAAUCUCAUAAAUUACCAGUACACAAGCUUCCAGAUAGUUAGCUUGAGUGAAUCUGUCAAGUUUGAUAUCGACGUGGUGUUAUCCAACACUCUUAACAUUCUAACCUUUGUUUCACAUGCUAGAGAUAUGACCAUCUCCAGGAGGACACUUGAGGUAUCUACACACUGAUCUCUAAACUUUCUUUAUUGAGAGUUUUAAGCUAACUCUAUCUGGCAGUUCAUCUAUUAUCACCUGGAAAUAAACCGACGAACUAAAUUUCAUGGCUUGGCUCGUCUUCGUGCUACUAUGUUCUUAAACAGAAGAAGUGGAACAAGUGGUGAAGACAGGAUAAGCAUAUUGCCUGAACCAUUGGUAUGUCAUAUACUCACCUUUCUUACUACCAAGGAAUCUGUUAGGACAAGUGUUCUGUCCUCUAGAUGGAGAGAUCUCUGGCUAUGGGUGCCUAGAUUAGAUCUGGACAAAUCUGACUUCUCAGAGGAGAACACCUGCGUGAGUUUCAUCGAUAAGUUUCUGAAUUUCCGAGGUGAGUCCUACUUGCGUGGCUUCAAGCUAAACACUGACCACGAUGAUGACGAGUCCAAUUCUUCAGUGGAGGCAUGCCUGACGCGAGUAGUUAACAAGUGUAAGAUUCAGCAUUUCGAAAUCAAGAACUACUUUGGGUUUUGCUACCUUGAGAUGUCUCUAGUCUUUUCAAUGUGUGACACAUUAGUUAGCUUGAAACUCAGCUUCGUGAUGAUGAGUGAUUACGACCAGUCAUUUUCUUUACCAUGUCUCAAGACUCUGCACUUGGAAAAAGUUGAAUUCCAAAGCGAUGAGGUUGCAGAGGCACUAAUCUCAUCCUCUCUGGUUCUCAAGGAUUUAAAAAUGAGCCAGAGUGAAUAUGAUUCUGUGCAAGUGUUACGCGUCCGGUCCAAGUCACUAAAGAGCUUCACUCUGGAACGGGCGGAUCCUGGUCGUGUCGAAAACAGUUUGGAGACAGUAGUGGUGGACACUCCGGGACUCGAGUAUCUGAAUCUCAUAAAUUACCAGUACACAAGCUUCCAGAUAGUUAGCUUGAGUGAAUCUGUCAAGUUUGAUAUCGACGUGGUGUUAUCCAACACUCUUAACAUUCUAACCUUUGUUUCACAUGCUAGAGAUAUGACCAUCUCCAGGAGGACACUUGAGGUAUCUACACACUGAUCUCUAAACUUUCUUUAUUGAGAGUUUUAAGCUAA
rnacentral:lncRNA from 1 species